rnacentral:rRNA from 1 species
UACGUAGGGUGCAAGCGUUGUCCGGAAUUACUGGGCGUAAAGCGCGUGUAGGUUGCUCGGAAAGUCGGAUGUGAAAGCCCUGGGCUUAACCUAGGAAGUGCAUUCGAAACUUCCGAGCUGGAGUUCUGGAGAGGAAGGCGGAAUUCUCGGUGUAGAGGUGAAAUUCGUAGAUAUCGAGAGGAACACCGGUGGCGAAGGCGGCCUUCUGGACAGUGACUGACGCUGAGACGCGAAAGCGUGGGGAGCAAACAGG